rnacentral:rRNA from 1 species
ACCAAGGCUUGACAUACACCGGAAAGCAUUAGAGAUAGUGCCCCCCUUGUGGUCGGUGUACAGGUGGUGCAUGGCUGUCGUCAGCUCGUGUCGUGAGAUGUUGGGUUAAGUCCCGCAACGAGCGCAACCCUUGUCCCGUGUUGCCAGCAGGCCCUUGUGGUGCUGGGGACUCACGGGAGACCGCCGGGGUCAACUCGGAGGAAGGUGGGGACGACGUCAAGUCAUCAUGCCCCUUAUGUCUUGGGCUGCACACGUGCUACAAUGGCCGGUACAAUGAGCUGCGAUACC